AGGGGGGCUGUGAGUGGGCAUCAGGUUCUGAGUGUUGGAUCUUGCUCUUUCAGGGGCGGUGACCUUCGAGGAGGCGCUGUGUAUUUCACCAGGGAAGAGUGGGCUCUGCUGGACCCUACAGGGGUGUCAUGCAGGAGAAGUAGGUGCUCCAUGCAUAUAAUGACGCCUGGAGAUGGCCCAUAAUUUACACACUGACAGAAGCAGACCUGGGGCUUUAUUACACUGCUGAAGAAUAAAGUUUAUCUAAUAUUUGUGCAUAUCUCAGACA